rnacentral:rRNA from 1 species
GAGGCGUGGCUUCCGGAGCUAACGCGUUAAGUCGACCGCCUGGGGAGUACGGCCGCAAGGUUAAAACUCAAAUGAAUUGACGGGGGCCCGCACAAGCGGUGGAGCAUGUGGUUUAAUUCGAUGCAACGCGAAGAACCUUACCUACUCUUGACAUCCAGAGAACUUUCCAGAGAUGGAUUGGUGCCUUCGGGAACUCUGAGACAGGUGCUGCAUGGCUGUCGUCAGCUCGUGUUGUGAAAUGUUGGGUUAAGUCCCGCAACGAGCGCAACCCUUAUCCUUUGUUGCCAGCGGUCCGGCCGGGAACUCAAAGGAGACUGCCAGUGAUAAACUGGAGGAAGGUGGGGAUGACGUCAAGUCAUCAUGGCCCUUACGAGUAGGGCUACACACGUGCUACAAUGGCGCAUACAAAGAGAAGCGACCUCGCGAGAGCAAGCGGACCUCAUAAAGUGCGUCGUAGUCCGGAUUGGAGUCUGCAACUCGACUCCAUGAAGUCGGAAUCGCUAGUAAU